UAUUUGUUGUAGACGGAAACUUCGUAGGAGGCGAAUUUUAGUUGAUAUUGCUAUACUUGAGACGCGUUCGAGGUUGGUGAAAGGGACUACGUUGCAGGAAUGAGUGAAUUUAUAGUUUUUAAGUUCACCUAGUUUAAUAAACACUACAGUACUGUCAUUUGAGAUUGUUUAGUUUUGUUUUGGUAUAAAGUAGACAACUUAGUUUGGUUUAUUUUGAUA